rnacentral:misc_RNA from 1 species
UUAAGUUCAGCGGGUAGUCCUACCUGAUUUGAGAUCAAACGGUCAAAAUCUGUCCUCACCGAGGAGAGAUGUUUAUGAGCUCCAGUGAACCUCCAUUGCUGAGGGUUACCUGGUGGAAAACCACAAGCGUAGAUAGUUAUCACACAUGUGAUGCCACCAAACACUGGCAAGCUAAUUCAUUUGAGAGGAGCCGACCUAUA